GAUGAACGCUAGCGAUAGGCUUAACACAUGCAAGUCGAGGGGCAGCAUGGUCUUAGCUUGCUAAGACUGAUGGCGACCGGCGCACGGGUGCGUAACGCGUAUGCAACUUGCCUCACAGAGGGGGAUAACCCGUCGAAAGACGGACUAAUACCGCGUACACUUGGGAUAGGGCAUCCUGACCCAAGGAAAUGAAAUUCGCUGUGAGAUAGGCAUGCGUCCCAUUAGCUAGUUGGUGAGGUAACGGCUCACCAAGGCGACGAUGGGUAGGGGAACUGAGAGGUUGAACCCCCACACUGGUACUGAGACACGGACCAGACUCCUACGGGAGGCAGCAGUGAGGGAUAUUGGUCAAUGGGCGAGAGCCUGAACCAGCCAAGUCGCGUGAAGGAUGACUGUCUUAUGGAUUGUAAACUUCUUUUAUACGGGAAUAACAAGAGUCACGUGUGGCUCCCUGCAUGUACCGUAUGAAUAAGCAUCGGCUAACUCCGUG
rnacentral:rRNA from 1 species